UACGUAGGGGCCAAGCGUUGUCCGGAUUUAUUGGGCGUAAAGAGCUCGUAGGCGGUUGGGUAAGUCGGGUGUGAAAACUCCAGGCUCAACUUGGAGAUGCCACCCGAUACUGCUCUGACUUGAGUUCGGUAGGGGAGUGGGGAAUUCCUGGUGUAGCGGUGAAAUGCGCAGAUAUCAGGAGGAACACCGGUGGCGAAGGCGGGUCUCUGGGCCGAAACUGACGCUGAGGAGCGGAAGCGUGGGGAGCAAACAGG
rnacentral:rRNA from 1 species